rnacentral:rRNA from 1 species
GAUGAACGCUGGCGGCGUGCCUAAUACAUGCAAGUCGAGCGAACAGACGAGGAGCUUGCUCCUCUGACGUUAGCGGCGGACGGGUGAGUAACACGUGGAUAACCUACCUAUAAGACUGGGAUAACUUCGGGAAACCGGAGCUAAUACCGGAUAAUAUAUUGAACCGCAUGGUUCAAUAGUGAAAGACGGUUUUGCUGUCACUUAUAGAUGGAUCCGCGCCGCAUUAGCUAGUUGGUAAGGUAACGGCUUACCAAGGCAACGAUGCGUAGCCGACCUGAGAGGGUGAUCGGCCACACUGGAACUGAGACACGGUCCAGACUCCUACGGGAGGCAGCAGUAGGGAAUCUUCCGCAAUGGGCGAAAGCUUGACGGAGCAACGCCGCGUGAGUGAUGAAGGUCUUCGGAUCGUAAAACUCUGUUAUUAGGGAAGAACAAAUGUGUAAGUAACUAUGCACGUCUGGACGGUACCUAAUCAGAAAGCCACGGCUAACUACG